UACGUAGGGUGCAAGCGUUGUCCGGAAUUAUUGGGCGUAAAGAGCUCGUAGGCGGUCUGUCGCGUCUGCUGUGAAAACCUGGGGCUUAACUCUGGGCGUGCAGUGGGGUACGGGCAGGCUAGAGUGCGGUAGGGGGAGACUGGAAUUCCUGGUGUAGCGGUGGAAUGCGCAGAUAUCAGGAGGAACACCAAUGGCGAAGGCAGAUCUCUGGGCCGUAACUGACGCUGAGGAGCGAAAGCGUGGGGAGCAAACAGG
rnacentral:rRNA from 1 species